AUCUACUAAAAAUAAACUGAAUCUAAUGAAGUACUGAAAUGAGAAACAUCCUCGGAUGAUGAGGACUUACUUAAAGUCUACUGCUGCUAACUGAGUCUGGACUGCUAAGGGUACUCUGGAUCUCGUACUUCUAAACCUAUGGCAUCAAAUAAAACACCAUAGCACAAAUGUGUCAGUAAAUUUAAAUGUACUGAGUAUGCAAAUGGGGUAAAGCUAAAUACAAGGUCUUAUGCAGGAACACAACUUAACUGAAUGAUAUGCAAGAGCUGGAUUAACAUAUAUAGAGAAUCUAUAACUACUUAACAUACUGUGACUGAGCAUAAUAGGACUGAAUCUAAUAACUGAUACUGAAUCUGAAACUAAUACCCAUACUUAUUAAUACUGAUAAACUAGAUGACUAAGUCUACUGAUAAUGGAUAUCGACUGGAUAAAUCUGAGAUCAAACCUAUCUAGCGGGAUGAUCUCUAGAUCUUCUAAUAAUGAUUAAGAUUUACUAAGCUUGAGAUCAGGCCAAACUGAUGGGUGAUCUAUGGAACUGAUAAUGAUAAUACUCAACUAAAUCUGAGACUGAGAUCAAGCCUACUUGAUGGGUGAUCUCGGUAAGUAUUAAUACUAAUUAACUUUCUAUGAGACCAAGUCUAUCUAAUGGGUGGUCCAUGUAUCACUAGAACUAUCUGAGUUCCUUACUGAGAUAGAUGAUUGUAUCUGACAGUCCUGAUUUUUGAGUUCUACUCUGAAGACUACUCUGCACUAGUGGGGUCCAACCUAUAACCCCAGCUGGAAGGGUGUCAAUACUAUGCCACAGGUAAAGACCUCUCUUGUCAAGCCUCUCUAAUGGAUGACCCUUAAGAGGAAUUCAGCCUAAGGCUAUGUGGACUCCUGCAGGUAGUCAAGCCUUUAUCUGACAGGUGACUCAUCAUCCUGCGCUGGCUACGUAGUUCUGGAGUAUAGGUAUUUCCACUAACGACUCCGCCUCUCUAAUGGGGAAACCGCAUCCUGCACUCACUCGGUGUUAGUACUCCCAACUUAAAGACUCUGAACUGAUCCUUAACUGAACUUAGACUGAGCUAAAUAGUUUUACCGAUUAUCUUACUUGACUGAUCUGACUAAGUCCCCUUGGUUCUGUUAUCUGAUGGAAUAAGUCUGAAUUAUACUUUUUUUCUGAAUACUACGGAGUUCUGUAACUCACUAAUCUUUACCCCCAAGACUCGAUGGAAGGAAACUGACAAACAUGACUUUUUAAAUAUAUAACCAACAUCCAUAUCACAAGAAUAAUCUAUCACAUCAAUAUCAUAACAAUAGUCUAUGAUUUGCAACAUUAUCAAGGAAGUAUCACUUCAAGCACUUGGGAACAUUCACCAUGUAAAUUGUAUAUAAAGGCAAGCUAUUGUCUCAUGAAUUACUCAACAAUGAAAAUCCACAUGAAUAGGAAGCAUAUGCAACAUACUAUUCUUCAUUCAUCUUGGUGUUACAACACACACUAGAAAUGUAUUACUUGUCACAAAUUUGAGGUUUUAUACCUAAUAUGCCACAAUGGUACUAUUUUCUUAAUAUAAGUAUUCUACCAAACAUAUGAGAGGCACACUUUGGUCAUACAACAAUUCAUUACCCCUAAUUAACAUGAUUACAUAAUUUAACAUGCUUCUUGAAGAGGCUUUGUCAUGAAUAACACAUAAUCAACACAUACUAGGGUCAAAGUUUGCAUCUUUACAAUCAAGACAUGAAUUAAAACUCAAUAACAACAUGAACUUCAUCCUCAAUUCACAUGUAUCAUAAAAUCUCAUAAAAAUGUAAACUUAAGAAUUUUAUAAAGGGUUCUUAAACUUCUUGGGUGGAAGGAACCCAAGAAUCAAAAAUUGCAUACCUUAAUUUCUUGAUUUUUGGAGAGACUUGAUAGAGGAAUUAUUGAGUUCUUGAACCUUUGGUUUGAAACCCUAGGUCGUUCCUGAGAGAAAAUUGAGAGAAAACCUUAUAAUUUAGGUUGAAUGAGGCUAAAUCUUGAAAGAGAUCAAAUGUUUCUUUAAGGUUCUUGAAGAAAUUCUGAGGCUUGUUCUUGAUUUUUCUUGACUAGGGUUUAACCCCUUUGACAGAGAAUGUUUUUGUUUUUAAGGAGAUGAUCUUGAGAGAAAACCCUAAUCUUAUGAUUGAGAAUGUUUGAGAGAAUUUUUUAGAUGCUUAACUGAAGAAAAAUAGGAGAAAGUUAAGUCUCUUGAGGUUUAUAAGUUGUGGGAGGUGAAGGUAAAGACCAAAAUACCCUUAUGAAACCACUUCCCAAUUGCUAAAAAUCUUAGCUAAUGACCAAGGCUGAAAUGUCGUCAAAUUUGUGAUAAGUCAUCACAAAUGUCGUAACUUAGGAGCUGAUUUCUGCCUAAGGCUGACGAUAUUUGUGAUAAGUCAUCACACUUAUGAUAAGUUAUCAGAAAUGUUGUCACUAGGGGCUGGAUUUUGCCUAAAGCUGAUGACAUUUGUGAUAAUUCGUCACACUUGUGAUAAGUUAUCAGCAAUGUUGUCAGUCAGUUUUCCAGCCUAACAUGCUGGAGUAAAAUGGGUAUAACUAUUUUCUCCGAUAUCGGAUUUGGGUGAAAUUGGUAUCGUUGAAAAUAUAAUUCAAAGAUAUUUCAUUUGACAUAUAGUAGGUCCUCUAAUUCUGUAUAUACAAUUAGUUAUGGUUGAUUAAAGUUGACCCAAGUUUUGAUGCUCACUAAAACUUGAACGAUAGGAAAGCUUGCAACUUGUCUUUGAGUUAGGAACCUCAAUGAUCUUAAUUCAUUCUCAAAUAGAUUCUCACACUACAUAAUUGAUUAACAUACUAAAUAUACAUAGGAUUUGAGGCUUUUGGAACAUUUACACAUAUGAAUGAUGAAUUUUCAUUUUAGUCCAAAAUGUGGGGUGUUACAGGCCUCGUAUUAAUUUGGUAUUAGUAGCUUUCAUUAGUGCUAAGAAUCACUUCAUCAUUGUCUUUAUUUCACUUAACUAGCAUGCUAAAGCAAUAUUACAAACAUCAAUCUAGCCCUAAUGAUUUUCCAUCUUGUAAAAACUUUUGGCAAUAGCUGUUUUGGUCAUGAUAGUAAAUUAUGUCCUUGGAAAUGGAUUUGUUACUAUAUUUUUUUAGAGUAUCUCUCCUUCUACAGUGCCUAACAAAUAGUGUCUGGUGUAAUUCUAUUAAGAAGUUUCCACAUAGCAUUAUUGGUGCUUAACUUACACCAAUUUGAAAGACUUUGAUUGAUAUUGUUACUGUCAAAAUAUACUCCAAGAGGUCUAGAGAUCAUAUCACAAAUCUGUUUAUCCAUGUAUCCAGGGGAAAAUAAGUGAUUGUAAUAUUCCUAUCUUGUGACCUUGCAACAAACAUAAUUAAUAUUAGUAUCAAUGCUGAAUUUAGAUAGAGAAUUUCCUUUUUGGUCAAAUAGAAAUUUUUUAUUAAAACACCAUCAUGUUACUCACUAUUGCAACCUACAAGAAACAUCUAGUGUAGAUAAAAUAAAUGCUUCUACACUUGCGACCAACUCAAUAAAAUUAAAACAUACUACUUACAAUGUGCCUAUACUGCUCAGCAUCCUAUCUAUUCAUGCUCUAUCUUUAAUUUCUUCUUCUUCUAUAAGUUCUAUAUAACUCUAUCCAUGUAUUCUAGUUAAAUAUGAUUGCAUAUCAACAGUGGUCUAGGGAUCCUAUGAUUCCAAAAAGCUGAGUUCCUAGCCAUCCAUACGUGAUAAAUACAAGCUACUAAUAUUGCCCAUAUCGGGCUUCUACUAAUUUUUCCAAUGCACUUUCUUGCCAUCCUUUUCCGUAAUCCUUUGUUAUCCUAAUUUGGUACCUUAAUCCUUACCCAAUCUAUCAAAAUAGAUAGACAUCUUUUGGAAAAUUCACAUUGGAAAAAGAUAUAAGCAGUGUCUCCUUAGCUACUCCACAUAAAAGGCAGUUCUUCUUUUGGGUUACUCCCGUUUUCUUGGGUCUAUCUCUUAUAAGUAUCCUAUUUUUUAUGGAUAACCAGAUAAUAAAAUAGUUCUUAGGAACACUAACAAUGUUCCAAAUAGGUCUCUUGUAAUGCCAUUUUAUACUAUCUCGCCUUCUCCAGGUAUACUCAUUCUUCACAAUGUAUUUGUCUAUAGCUUGAUUCCAACCAUUCCCAUUGUACCCAUCCUAGAUUUCAUCCCUAACCCUAUAUAUUUUCUUCAUAUACCCUGCAUAUGUGCUCAGGUCUCAUUGUGAUCAUUUUUGCAGAAUAAUCCUCCUGAUGUGAACUCAAAAAAUGCUUGAAGUAGAACUUCAAUAAGGCAUUGACCCAUUAUAUCAUGCUACAAUGUGAUUCUAAUCUUUUUAUGUUUUCAUUUAAGUGCUAAUUUAUAUUAUUUGUUCUCUUUUUAUAGGUGUCCAAAAUGAAAAAAGAGAUGAAUAAAGUGAUGAAGAUAUUGACCUUACUUGAGAAGAUUUUUGGGUUGUGGAUAAAUGUUCUAAUAUCAAUAGUUUUGUAUUGAAUUUUUUGAAACUCAUCGUUACUCAAACUUGCUACUAUGUAAAAACUUAACUAAUCAUUUGGACCUGAUUACAUUUUGCUUUUUGAUUUAAAUUACUAGGUUGUUGCAUAUUUUAAAUUAUGAGAUUACUAAUGAAUGAUUUUAUGUUGUGAUGUAUAUAUAUUGUGUUAUAAUUAAUUUAUUAUGUAUGUAAAUAAAAAUUUAAUUUAUGUUAAUACGAGUGGCUAUUUAUAUAAAUCAUUUCAAUUUAAUAACAUGUGGCAAAAAUCGUUGCAAUAGAUCAAUAAACCAUUGCAAUAGGUAGUCAAAAAGUGUUGCAACAGAAUAACAAAAGCGUCACAAUAGAUGCUAUUGCAAUGAUUUAAUGUUAUUGCAAUAGAAUCUAUUACAACGGUUAGUAACCAUUGGAAUAGAUGAAAAUAGGCAUCCCAAUAAGUAAUGAAAAAGUUGUAAUAGGUACUCAAAAAGCAUUGCAACAGAAUAACAAAAGUGUCGCAAUAGAAGCUAUUGCAACGGUUUAAUGUUGUUGCAAUAGACUCUAAUGCAACAGUUGCUAACCAUUGUAAUAGAUGAAAAUAGGCAUCUCAAUAAGUCAAAAAAUAAACAUCAUUAUAGCUUGACCUAUGGCGACGGUUUUAGACAACCAUCGCCAUAGCUUGACCGUCCCAUAAACCGUUGUCAUAAACCUAUCGCAACUCCCACAUAUAAGACAUUUGCUGAAGCGUUGCGGUAGAGCUAUGACAGCGUUUUUGUUAUCUAUAGAAACGGUUUUCCAACCUUCACCAUAGGGGUUAUUUCCAGUAGUGAGAACAUUUAUAAAACUCAAAGAAGUCUAUAAAACUAAGUAAUAGUGGAAAGUCACAAACUUUGAACAAACAUCAUAACCAAAGACAUCUAUAGAACUCAGUCCAAGAAACCUCUAAUCAUGGCUAAACUAUCAGGGCAAGGCCCCAAUGAUACCAUUAAAUUAAAAUAAACUGAAUUCCUAAAUAACACGUCUUUCGAAAAAUGGAUGGCCUACCCACCCUUAUGUUUCAGGAGAUCCUAAAAUAAUGUUGGACCACGAGAUUGUACCUCAAAACCUACAUUAUGAGUCAAUACAGUCACCCGAGUAUGGUCAAUACUUGGAAUGUAUUAGCAUAUAGAACAACCCAAAACACCAUAUACUUUACAUAAAAUAGAUAAGAGUGUAAGAAAAUAAUUUACAAUAUAGAAGUCGAAACACAUGGGCAUGAAUAAAAGCUUCAAACAAUCUCCUAAAACAUAGACUCAAUUCUUCUCUUUACCUCAUAGGAUAUAUGGUUCCGGCAUUAAAUCAUCAGUCAAGCCUCCAAUCCAAGUUUGCCGAAAGGAUUGGGGUAUCUAUAUACUGGCAUACCAAAGGCACAAAGAAAGUAUACCAUGACUAUCCAUAUUUUAGGAUAGAGUCAAUCCUGCAUCGGCAACACAUGAUUUCAGGCGAUGAGUCUAUCCAACUAGUGUCUUCUCAAUCAACCAUCUAACUCUCUUUAAGCCUAUUUACAAUUUAUUUAAAACAUUCGUCAUUCAACAAAAUUCAUCUUUUUUCUCUAAGGGUAUUCUCUUAUUUUGGUAUCAUUAUAACAAGAUUUAUAAGUCAUAUAAAUCAUAUUAUCUCCUCUUUAGCCCUUUAUUCAAUAACAUAUCAUUGACCACAAAAAUAAUUCAAUUAAAAAAUAAGAUUUCUCUUUCAAAAUUGUUAUGCAAGCUUAAGUAAAACACCUUUCUUUUAUGGAAUCUUUGUAACCCUUAAAAGUGGUCAUCUCUUUCAUAAAUUCAUACAAUUGUCAUGGGAAACAAAGAACACUUAAACUAUAAAAAAAAACCUUUGAAUCCAUAUAAAUAAAUAAUGUAUAAUUUGAUAAACGAUACAUUUGAAACUUAAUAUUUUCACCAUUCAUCAAAUAAUCUACAACACUAGUCAAAUGCAUAAUUCUCAUUAUAAAAAGAUAUUUAUAAUUUAUGUUCUUCAAAUAAUUUCAAAAUCCAUAUCAUUUAUAUAUAUAAUGUAGAGUACAUAUAAUGUGGAGUACAGGAAAAUAUGAUUUUCAAGUCCAUGAGUAAUAAUGUCACUCUACAUAUCUUCUAAUAACAAAAACUCGAUCAACAAUUUAUCCUUAGAGCCUUAGAGUUUUGAACCCUAGUUAGUUUCUUUCUUUAUUGAUUUAUGGAUGUUUACCAAGUGAUUUGGAUUAAAUGGAAUUGUUCUUAAAAACUUAAUAGCAUAUGGGUGAAUGGAGAACGUCUUAAGGGUGUAAAAUAACCCAAACACCCCUAAAAUAUCAUUAAAAUGAUGCCCUAUAGACGAAUAAAGGGGGUGUUGUACAACCUCUAGUGCGGGGAAGAAACCUCGCAGAGCAAACCCUAGCACGAGUUGAGCCCCUCAUGGUGUGGGUCUUCUUUGUGGGUGAUGCAGUGACCUUCCGUGAUAGCCCACGUGCCACGAUCUAGCACACAGUGUCUCACUUGCGGUGCAUGGCCCAUUUCGCAUCUUAAAUUACCCCAACACUUCCAAACCCAUCCCCAAGGUAGUUCUUAGCUCUAUUUAUGUGUCAAUACACGGGGUAUUACAUAUUCCCUUCAGCAAGAAAAAGAGGACCAAAAAGGUUGUUGAUGGUCAAUACUAUGGGUGGUAGAAGACUCGAAUGCACAAUUUCAUAAUGGUGAAAGAUAGAGAAUUGUGUGACAUUAUAUGUGAUGGACCACACAUUUCCAUGACAGAAGAUCAAGUAAGGAACUGUUAUGAAACUAGUCCCCAGGAAAUAAAAGGAGUAUGAUAAAGAUGAUCAGAAAAAGAUUUUAAAAAGCUACAAAGCAAAAAAAUUUCUUAUUUGUGGAAUAGGUCCGAAUGAAUACAAUAGAAUAUCUACAUAUGAAUUUGCAAAGAGAUUUGGGACAAUUUGAAGACUACUCAUAAGGGAACAAGUCGGGUCAAAGAGUCAAAAAUUGAUAUACUUAUCACACAGUAUGAAGUUUUCACUAUGAAAGAAACUGAGACCAUUUAAGAAAUGCACACAAGGUUCACUGCUAUUACAAAUGAGUUGUACUAUCUUUGAAAGGUAAUUCCACCCAAUAAACAAGUGAGAAAAAUACUUGGUGUUUUACCUAAGUUGGGGAAAAGCACAGUCGUGUUAUCAUAGAGGCUCGAAAUCUCAAAACUCUUACAAUGGAUAGAGUGAUUGGUAAUCUCAAGACAUGUGAACUAAAAAAAAACCAAGACCAAGAGCAGAAGAGCCCAAGAAAGAGAAAACUCUGUCUCUUAAGGCCUCAAAAAUUGAUUCUAGAGAAGAUGAUGAGAAUGUUUCUUACUUAGCUCGAAGGUUCAGAAAAUCUAUGAAAAGAAAUGGUGAAUUCAGAAGAAAAAAAUACUACCAAGUCACCAAAGAGAAAUGAAUGUUGUCACAAAUGUGGUAAACCAAGUCAAUUUAUUAAGGAUUUCCCAAUGCACAAGAUGGAAUGAAAAGAUUAUAUCAAGGCAAGAGGAAAUAAAGGUAAAAGGAAGGAUCGAGUCCUCGACAUAUGUAAGAGAAGGGUAGCAAUAGACAAUAUGGUCAAACAAAUAUUAGCUACUUGGGGGGACUCAUCAAGUAAGUCUAAUAAGUCAGAGCAUCUAGAAGAUGCUUCUAUGAUGGAUGUGGAAUAAAAUGAUAACAUUUACAACUCGUUUUUUGCUCUUAUGGCUAAAUCAAAUAAUGAUGAAGAUGAAGAGGUAACCGUUCUUGACAUUAAGCAAAACCUCAAUGACUAUUUCUUUAAAAAAAAAUUGAAAAGCCUAGCAAAUGUUUUGAUUGAUUCUUUGUGUGGGAUCACUACUGAGAAAGAUUUUCUUGAAGAAAGUCUAGAAAAUUGUUAAAAUGAAGAAAUUACUUUAAUUCAAGUUUUUGAGUUGGGAGAAUAGUUUCAAAAUUUGUCCUCUAAAGUGUUGAAAUGAAAGAAAAAAUGAGAAAUUUUUCUGAGUCAGUUCCCAAAGGAAUAUUUGAGGAUAGUUGUCUUUAAAUUGAUAUUGAAGAAAGGCUGAACAAGUCCUAAGGACAUCGUCCUUCCUCUAUUAAGAUAAAUGCUAAACUAAAGAGGGACAUGGUCUGUAUUAAGGAAGAACUAAACAAAUCUCUGAAAUAGACUGCAUCUUCUUCGAUUUUAUCUAAUCUGAUUAGUUAGAGAUCAAACAAUGGAAAAAGUCUAUGCUGUCAAAAUGUUAAUCCCUAUUAUAUUCCCACAACAAAUAUUUGUCUUUGUCUAACAAUUUGUAGUGUACACACUAGGGAAGAAAAGUGCAUUUAAAAAGGGAUUGUCAAGACAAGUUAAGGGAUGAAAUGAGUUUGACUAGUCAUGUAUAGCAGGAGUGGCUAAUUAAAAAGGGGCCUAGUCCCUUUUCAGCAUUUAAGAAAACUAGGUUUUCUGUCUAGAUAAAUAAAAUUUUAACUACUCUCAUGUCCCCCUUUUGGGAACUUACACUUAAAUGGCUUUCCAAACCUAAAAAAUAAUCUUUAUGUGUAGGAAAGAGUAAGAUAAAAGUAGAAACAAUUGGUUUAUGGAUAGUGGAUGUUCCAAGAAUAUGACUGAAAGUACUGAAUGCUUCAUUUCACUCAAGGCACUUCAAGGUGGAGGUGUCUCAUUUAAAGAUAGAAAAAUGGGAUAUAUUCUAGGUGUUUGCAAAAUUGGAAAAUAUCUAGCUCGCACUAUUGAAAAUAUGUAUUAUGUGAGUGUUUUAAAGUAUAUUUUGCUCAAUGACUGUCAAAUUUAUGAUAAGGUUAUUUAAGUUAAAUUCAUGUUUGAUUGUUGCGCUAUCACCUAUCUCCAAUCUAGUGAGGUCAUUCUUUGAGUCGAGAGAUUCAAAAACAUGUAUAUUGUUGAUCUGGAUUUAGUUCUUGGUUAUGAUAUUACUUUUCUAAGUGAUCAAGGUAAAAAUGUUGACUUAUGGCAUAUAAGACAUGUCCAUGUUAGCUUCUCACUUCUUUGCAAGUUUGUCAGAAAGGAUCUGGCCUGUGGUGUUCCCAAUUUGCAAUUUUCAGACAUCAAGAUAUGUGAUGUUAGCUCAUUACUUCUUAACAAUUUGGUCACAAAGGACCUAGUAUGUAGUCCUAAGUUUUAAUUUUUAGAUAUCAAGAUAUAUGAUGCAUGUGUCAAAGGAAAACAAAUUUUGUCCUCAUUAAAACAAAAGAAGCAAGCUAGUACCACUGGGCUUUUUAAGCAACUUCACAUGAACUUAUGUGGAUUUAUAAAAUUUCAAAGUAGAGGAGGAAAGAAUUAUAUCUUGGUCAUCAUGAUGAUUUCUCAAGGUACACACGAACCAUGUUCUUGAGGUCCAAAGAUGAAACUUUUAAAAUAUUGGUAAUUUUUGUCAAGUAAAUCCAAGUGAAGUUGGAUAGCAAAAUUACAAGGAUCAGGUUUGAACAUGGAAUAGAGUUUGAAAUUACAAGGGUUGAGGAUUUUUGUGUAUAAUAUAGAAUUAUUCAUAAUUUUUUGGCUCGCAGAACUCCUCAGCAAAAUGGUGUUGUUGAAAGGAAAAACAGGACCUUAGUUGAUAUUUCCAGAACUAUGCUAAUUGAUGCUGGUCUUUCAAAAAGCUUGUAGGCUAAAGCAGUUAACACUGAAUGAUAUGUUACAAUAGAUGUCUUAUAAUAUUUAUUCUCAACAAGAUUCCCUAUGAAUUGUUUUUCAAAAUAAAGCCAAACACAACUACUUCAGGGCUUUUGGGUGCAACUAUUUUGUAUUGAACAAUGGCAAGGAUGAUCUUGCCAAGUUUGAUCCCAAAAGUGAUGAAAGAAUAUUUAUAGAUUGCUCAUCAACUGAAAAAUCCUACAGAAUCUAUAACAAAAGAACUCUUUAUGUUGAAAAAGUGUUCAUGUCAUAUUUGUUGAGUUAGGAGAUAUUGAAAAAUUGAAAAAUGUGGAUGAUGUAGACAUGGAGGAAAUCAUUCUAAUUCAAAAAAAUGGCCCUGUUGUAGUAAAUAAUAAAGAACAAGAUUAUCAAGAUGUUGAAAAUGAUGCAAAUGAUAUAGGAGAAAAACCAGGUCCUCAACAAGAUCCUUUUGAACAUAAUGUUUCACAGCAUGUCUCACAUGACCAAGCUGUUGAGGGUCUUGGUAGCAUUCAACCAUAGUCAACCAUAAAAUGGUCUAAUUAUAAGCAUAAUUCAUCUGACCCUCUUGAGAAUCUCACCUCACCCUUGGACUCUGUUAUGCAAGCUAAGGCACAAGCAAGGAGUUUAGUUAUCUUUUCCCGCAUUCUUAUCCACCAGUAUACAUUGUAUGUAAAUAUGCGUGUAUAUUUUUGAAGUACUAUGACAAGUAAUGUAUUCUAUGUUUCAACUUUCAAGUGGUAUUUUAAGUAGUAUAUAUUGUAUCUAUAUGUGUAUAUAUUUUCUAUAGACUAAAGUAGUAUAUAUGAAUGUAUACAUGUGUAUAUGUUUUCUAAAGUAGUUCAUAUAUAAUGUAUAUAUGUUGUAUGUAUAAUUUAUAAUGUAUAAUGUUGUAUUUUAAGUAGUAUAUAUUUUAAAUAUGUGUAUAUAUAUUUUCUAUAGACUAAAAUAGUAUAUAUUUAAUGUAUACAUGUGUAUAUAUUUUCUAAAGUAGUAUAUAUAGUAUAUAUAUGUAUAUAUAUUUUCUAUAGACUAAAGUAGAAUAUAUGUAAUGUAUACAUGUGUAUAUCUUUUCUAAAGUAGAAUGAAUGUAAUGUAUAUAUGUUGCAUGUAUAUUGUCUCAAGUAGUAUUUUAAGUAGUAUAUACAUUAUAUCGCAUGUAUAUAUGUGUAUAUAUUUUUCAUAGACAAGUAGUAUACAUUUAAUGUAUACAUGUGCAUAUGUUUUCUAAAGUAGUAUAUAUGUAAUGUAUAUAUGUUGUAUGUAUAAUGUUUCAACUAUCAAGUGGUAUUUUAAAUAGUAUAUAUUGAACGUAUAUUGUUUCUAAAAGUAUUUCAACUAAUUGUAUAUAUAUUUGUAUGUAUUUUUCUAAUGUACUAUAAUAUAUAACGUAUAUAACUUGUAUAUAUAUUAUUUCAUGUAGAAUUUAAACACAUAUAUGUUGAAUGUACUUAUGUGUGUAUAUUUUUUAAAGUGAAAAUUGAAUGUAGUACACGUAUGUUUACUAAAAUAGUAUGAUAUGUAAUGUACAUAUGUUAUAGUUUAUUAUUUAACGUAUUUAAUAGUAUAUAUAUGUGUAUAUAUAGUAUAUAUUGAAAAAAUCAUGAAAAUUCAAACUUAAUUUAACUUAUUUUUUUAAAACAUUAAGGACCAGUAACCAGCCCAUUACUCAAACUAGGCCGAUUGAAUCGGUAAAAAUAGAUAAAACAGUAAACUGGGCCAAUCACGAGCCGUUUGUCCAUUAUUUACUAUUGGGCCCAGUACGGGCCGAACCAUUAAGAAUAGGGACCAGACCAAAUCGGCCCACAGCCCGAUAACUUUUACUGGGCCGGUACUGAUUUGAAUUGGACCGGCCCGAUUGACACCCUUAAUCUAAAUCAUAUCUUUUAUAGGUGGUGUAUUACUCUACAGAAUAUACUUGAUGAUUAGAUCUAUGUAAGUGGGAAGUGGGGUCACUCCUAUAAAAUUAUGAUAAAUGUCCAGAGAACUCAUGAAUAUCAGGACAAACGCAUGGCCUUUUAGUGGAAAACCGUGAUAACAACAAAGAUUGUGCGGUAUAGUGUGAUAGAAUAAGACCAAAAAUUUACAAAAGAAUUCUUGAUUCAUACAAGUUAUAAACUUCACCAACUAUUCUCUAAGUUCAAUCUUGUUUUAUCUAGGCCUGAUUCAUAGUCUACGGACAUCAUAUUCGAUGCAUUGUACUCAUACUCCCUCGGUCUCAUAUUACUUGGCAUGUUUGUCAAAAAGAAUAGUCUCAAAAUAGUUGACAUGUUUAAAAAAUCAAGAGAUAAUUGAGCACCUUUUUCCAGCUUUACCCUUAGUAAUUUAAUGAAAGUAAUUAACUCAAAUAAAUUUUACAACCCUUAUAAAAUUUCUCCUUAAGAAUUGUGGAUAAAGCAAACAUGUCAAAUAAUAUGAGUCGGAGGGAGUAUGUGAGAACCCAACAAAACUUCUUAUUACGCACGUGCAUUAGUUUCUUUAAUAUUAUUUUUGAGAUAUAUAAGAAAUUAUUAUAUAUUUUUAGUUAUCUCGAAAAUAAAUUGUAAGGAUUUUCUUGAUUAUUUCUAGCCAUAAGUAAUAGCUAUUAUUAUAAUAUUUUAAACCACUUUAAAUAACCAUUACUUCUAUUUUUAAUGGCCUUAUUUGACAUUUGUAACAACCACUAAUUUACCCAAGUUUUGGAAGUUUUCCUCAAAUGUCACUUAUGCUUCAUUUAGGAUCCAAGUUUUGGAAAUUUCCCUCAACCAUUAACAACCUAAAUAGUCACCCAAGUUUUAAAAAUUUCUCUCAAAUGUCACUUAUGUAUCUUUUAGGAUCACUAUAUCGCUUAACUAUCAUUUUUUUUUUCAAAAAAUAUUAAACACCUCAAAGGUCUUUUUCUCUCUUAGUUGGCAUGCCAUGUCAUUAAAACCUCUUUUUAAAAAAUACUAAAUUUAUUUAACUCAUUUAAUCAAAAUAUCAUUAUAUUCUAUUUAUUUUUUGAAAAAAUUCAUUAGUUUAUUAAAAAAUAAAUUUUUAUAAUUAGAAAAUUUUUAUCGAUACUAAAACUUGAUAUAUAUUUUUUUCAAGGGUCAUUUUUUUGAAUGGUCACUCGUAUUUUUUGAAUUGCCUACAAAAAUUAUUUUUAUUUUUCUAUAGAUAAUAAUGUGACUCAACUAUCACUAUUAUUCUCAAAAAGAGAAAAAACUAAAUAUCUUCUACGUCUCUAUCUCUUCUACACUGGGUGUUGUUGUGUUGUUGUCUCUAUCUCUUCUAAUUGGCAUGUCAUGUAAUUAAACUAUUUUUUUUUUAAUGAUACACAUAUUUAACCCAUCAAACUUAUUUAGUCAAAAUUAUAUUCUUAUUCUUUUUUAAAAAAAAACAUUAAUUAAUUAAGAGUGAAUUUUCAUGCUUAGGAAUCUUUUACCAUUACUUAAACUUUCGAUUUUUUCUUAAAUUAUUUUCUUGGAUUGUUAGUCAUGUUUUUGGAGUCGCUUAUAAAAAUCACUUUUGUUUUUGCGAAGACAAUAAUUGUAGACACCUAAUUUUGUCCCUCCCCGAUAUCAUUUUUACCCAUUUUACCUUAUCCUACCGUGUACCCCCAUCCAUGUUAUUAUACCUUCCAUAAAAUAAUAAAAAAUAACAACCCCUAACUAAUUUUAUUUUUAUUCUAACAACCUAUCCAAUCAAAAAUAAUCAACCACUACCCCACCUACCCUAACAAAUUUUAUCCUAACCAACUCACCCUACCCUACCUCACUACCCUAGAUCCCCUUCCCUUUCCUUUAACAGAAUUAUAUACAAGAGGGACCCACAGAAGAUUCCAUAAUUUUACUCUACAUACACCUGUACAUAUGCACAAAAGAGGGACCCCAUUAUGAUUAUUUUUUUCACAAGAAAGAGACACAAAACAAGAUUCCAUAUUUUUUUUCUUCCUGACCAAUUCAUAUAUACACAAAAGAGAACAAAUACAAAAUACACACAGAAAUCUUCUCCACCAGGAAAAUCACACACUCCUUAGUGACUCUCACUCUCACAGAUAACACAUAUACACAUUCACUUCCAUUUCCAAAAAGAGAGGAAUCACUGAUCCUCACCAAAUACACUCACUACCCUCUCAUCAUUGCACACACGCAUAGUAGAGUUCGAGAAAGAGAUGAGGACGGAUAGCAAGUAGGAACAAUGAGGAGGGAUAGAUUAAGAGAUCUGUGAGAGAGACAUGGAGAGGAGAUUGUGAAAUUGAAGGAGAGAGGUAGAAAUGGAUAUUCACUGACUGUUUUGGUGAUUUCUCACCAGGGAACAUCGCCGGUCGCCGUCCAAAUCCAACGGUGUUCUGUGAAAACUCAUUUGAAGUUCCACAGAUCUGUCAGAAAACAAACAAAUUAGGAUUCAUUUGAGAUCGUUCUUAGCCUAAUUGGAGUUUUAGGUUCAUCGGAUUGGAGAUUCGAGGCGCAGAUUCAUUGUUGAGGUUCAAGUAGAGAUUUUUGGAUGCGGUUUCGAUAUUUGGUCACGUAAUUUUGUCUAAUAAAGCUUCAAUUAAGGUCCGAUUCUACUCUCUCACUCUUUUUGUUUCAUUGUUAAUUAUAUCCGGUGCAUUAAAUUCAAUAUUAUGUGUUAUUUGAUCAUCGUUGGUGAUGAAGGCGUGUUUAUUUUGAUUCGUGGUUGGUUUUUCUUGAUUAUGGUUUGGUGAGAUGGUAUCCCGAUUGAGAAUAUUGUUGAACACGAUAGUAUCAUGAUUAGGUCGUUAAUUCUAUAGGCAAAUUCUAGGUUUUCGGAUAGGCAACUUGUAGGAUUUUAAUCAUCGAAUGUGUAAAUGUUUGUGCUGGGUGAUUUUUCCAUUUUUAUUGUAUUAAAAUAUACUCAUUUGGCCGGGGAAUGCCCUGUGAGAUUGUAUUGAUUUAUUCGGGGAAUGCCCUGAUUAUCAUGUAUGCAAAGGAGGUUCGUGAUGAAUAUCUGAGGCAUCGGAUAAAGCAUUGGAACAUAGUCUAGGAUUAGUUUAGAGUAGGAUUUACACUUCUAUAUUUUUAAUUUUUCGGGACUGUAUAAUUGGACUAAACAUUAUUAUUUUGGUUUUGAGUUAUUUUUUGAUGUGUUUGGUGAUUGUUUAUGAGUUUUACGUGGUUUACACAUUUGUAAUGUCAAAUUAGUUGAUAUGCUCCAUCAAGCAACCGUGGUCGAACCAUGGGAUCGAGGGAUGCCUACACCUUCCCCUCGGUCAACAGAAUUUCUUAACUGGAAUCUCUGUUCGCAGAUCAGUUUUAGAGUCAAACCAUUUUGAAAAGGAUUUUCAAAGGUGACUUGGCACACCUGAUUUAUGCCAAGUGGCGACUCUGAGUUUUGAAUAUAAAUAAUUCUUUUUGAAAUAAAUUUUCACUUUUUGUCACAUUGAUAAUAAAACCCUUUUGACUCUUAAAUGAUAAUCUUUUUGGUUGAAAAAAAAGGGUGUGACAGCUCUGGCGACUCUGCUGGGGACAUUUUCAGAAUUCAAGCUUAUUUUUUGGUGUUAUAUCGUCUUAAUUUGGUGUUGUGGGUGUAUAGACGUUGUUUGUGUUAUCGUUAGUGUUAUUGUUUUUUUUAGUGCCUACGUGCUCUUUGUUUACAUUUUUUCUCUAUGUGUUACCGUUUUAUAUCUGGCAUCAUGUGCAUAAUCCGAGUCAUUCUUUCUGCAACAAGUCUGUAGUACACGUUGUGUACAGAUCUCUAGUUAAAUCACCUUUAUCUUAGGAAGGAGAGUCGUCGGCUGGUAUGGAGUGGGUGGAAAGCUAAAGCAACCACUAUCAACUAUACGCUCCCCCGAACAGCCUUGUUAGUGAACUCCAGUGUAGGUCAACCUUUAGGUCAUGCUUAUCUGCAUCAUAUUGAGACCUAGGGGGACCCACUUGGUCUUUCAUAGGAAAUUCAUCCAUAAAGAAUCCCUACGUGCUAAUUGUUGCAUUUUUGGAGGGUAAUGAGGUUAUUUGACGGACUCAUUUGGGGAAAAUAGGUGUUAGAAGUAAAAUGUGUAGGCAAUGAAAAUUUGAAAAAAAAACAAAGAAAAAAAGGUGAAUCAAAAAAAGAGUUUUGUAGUUUAUUUUUAGAGUUCUUUAUGGUUUUUGUUCUUCACAACCCAAAAAAUUAAAAAAAAAUUACAUUUUGCAUUUAUUUUCUCAAAAUAACAAAAAUUCAAAAAAGAUUUUGUUUACCUUUUAUACUCAUUUGUCAAAAACAAAAACAUCAAAAAGAUUUUUCUUUUGUGUUUUUAGUAAGCAUUCAUAAUUCAAAAACUUCAAAAAGAUUUUUUUUACAACAGGAGAUUUUUAUAAAAGAAAAUGUCAAAAAGAUGGUAGAAGUUUUGUACGUUUCUUAUAACGAAAAUACCAAAAAGAUUUUUAUUUCAUAGUUAUUUCAUCGUUGUAGUAGUGUCUCAAGUUAGGGUUCAGUCGGUUAUUUAAUCCUUAAAUGUCCAAUCUGGACGAACUACGCGCCCCUGAUUCUCCUCUUUCGGGAUAUGAGAUACGUAGGCAGCCUAUUGUUGGUUCAGGGAUCGUAUUUAAAAAAACUCAAAAAGAUUUUCUUCACUCUUCACUUAGAGUAGGUGUUUCAUAUGCAUCUCUAAAAGAAAACUACAAAAAGAUUUUUCUUUAAUAGGUUCAAGUUCCAUUUUCAUAUGAAAUUUAAAACUGAAAACCCAAAAAGAUUGGCCAUUUUGGCAUGACUUCACGAACUACGCACACCUGAUUCUCCUCUCUCGGGAGUGAGAUACGUAGGCGCCCUUCCUGGGUUCAGUGAUCUUUUCAAAAAAUAACAAAAAAGAGAGGUUUUGAAAAAAUGUUGAACUCUAACAUAUUUGUUGUCUCUUGUUCAGUUAGUUUAAGGUGGUUGGUUUGUGGAUUCUGGGUCGUCCUCCAUAUCACACCAAAUCCAAGAAAGGUUUAGUUGUGUCUAACAAGGAUAUAGAGAGUGGCACUAUGGAUGAAACAAAGAGUCAGGAAAUUGAGAGUUUAAAGGAAGAGAAUUUGAGACUGAGACAACAAAUGAUGAAAAUGUAUCAAGCUUAGGCCAGUGAGCAGCCUCCAUCUCCGUUCCCCACUUUUGACCCUUCAAAUACCUUGAGUCUUUCACCAAAAUCGCAAAGUUAGUUUCCUACUGUUGUUGAUGCACCACAGCAUGCCUCGGAAUCCAUUCCACGUCAAAUACAUAUCAAUACUUCCACCACUCUUUCUUUAGCUCCUCAGUAUAAGUCUACCACAUUUACAACACCACAUACCAUCUAUGCUUUUGUUGCUCAACCUUCUACUAAGACUUCCACUUUAGCUAUCAAUCCAGCGAUUGUGCUUCCCCAGUCCACUAGUGAAUCCACGUUCAAUACUCUUGAUGAUCAUUUUUAUACUCUUGAGCCUACCGUUAAAUUAAGUGGACCGCCAAAAUUUCUUACUAAGAAGCCUAGCAUGCUAGAAGAUAUAGAGAAAGUGGUUGGGAAAUUUAAGAGUGUAGAAAAUGAUAUGAAAAAUUCCACUAGACUUAUGGGCUAUGAAGAUGUUUCAUAUAAAAACGGGGGCAUGUCUUCUAGUGUUAACCUUUCUCUCAGCUUUGAGACAUCAAAAUUUGGGGAGCCUAAUGGACAGAAGGAUUCUGUGAAACUUUUGGGACAACAUUGCAAUCAACCAAGAGAAACUGAAGGAAAGCAGAAAAAAAAUGCACCUAUUGUCAUGCCAGGGCCAAAGAAGAGUUUGAGAGGUCCAACCCUCCAAUACUGUCAGCCUCAAUCUCGAGCUUAUAUAUUAGAUCCACAUAACCACUUGCAACAAGGUUUCUUUCCCCAAAAUCCAAUAAAUCCCAUUCCACUUCCUCAAUAUCCUUUGAACAAUGCAGAAUUGUAUGCUCAUCCAUCUUCUUAUCCACAAUGGAAUGCAUUUAUCCCUCAACAUCGUCAUUGAACCCGACAAAUUUACCAAGGAACCUCUAAAUCCAAGUUUUAUCCAAGGCCGGAGUAUGCAAAGAGGAGGAAGGAAAAAGAUAAUUUCACUCCUAUUAGGGAAUCCUAUGCCAGUUUAUUCCAGAGAUUGGUAUAGCAGGGCAUGAUCGCUCUUCUUCUUGGAUAUACUCCUAACCCAUAUUCAAGAAUUUUGGAUCCUAAUGUAUGAUGUGCAUAUCAUUCUGAUGUUCAGGGUCACAGUAUUGAAGAUUGUCGUGCUUUGAAAAGAGAAAUUGAAAAGAUGAUUCAAGAUAAAUCAAUUAUGGUGUAGAAUAUUAACUAUAAGGAAAGCUCUAGUCAUGCUGAUAUGCAAAUCAGUGGCUAAGAUGCCAGGCUGAGAAAUUGAGAAGUCACCUCUUCCUCCUAGGAAGAGGUCUAGUAGUUUGUUUUGUCUUAUUUUCUGUUAUCCGAAUUAUUUCAGGGUUGUAGUUCGGGAUCUAUCUUGUUUUUGUCCCUUUUGUCAUUUAUGGUCAAACCUUUUCUAUCUUUUAUUUCAACUAAAUAAAGUGUUUUUUUCCUUUGUAUUUAAAUAUAUGUUAUUUGUUUGUUUUCUUUACAUAGUACAUUUUAUGUUGGCUUUAGUGAUAUGACAUGCUGGUGGAAUUCUUCGCUAUAUCUUAAAACCCAAUUUGAGCAUGAACUUUAAAUCAGAGGGCUAAAGUUGGAAAAAGCAUGUGAGAAAUAGGUAGCGUGUUAAGAAAUUUGGUGACCAUGUUGAAACCUUCUUUCAAAACUAAGGCAAUUGUUUUGAGAAUCACCAGAAUAACUUGGUCAUCAAUUGUAAGUCAUGCCUCAAUUAGGUCAAACAGUGGAUGUGUGAUUCUAUAUCAAGAGGAACAGAAAGAAAAUCAGCUCCACGAAAUCAUGAGUCAUUCAAUGUAAGAAAUGUACAAUAAAAGUGGAGUUGUAUGCUAGCAAAGUGCAGAAGAAGUAGCGACGCACAGACUCAGUUAAAGUUAAUGCUAUAAAAGAUAUUGCACAUGAUCUUCAUAUCCAACUUUCAAAUUGCAUGUUAUGUACUUGCAUCUUCAAAAAUUGAUAUGACGAAGGUAUUUCAUUCUGUUAUCCAAACAUUGUGUCAUCCUUUGCUUAUCCCAUUUUAGACUUAGUUUUAUUUUCUUUCAUACACCUCUUUUGGAAUCAAUAUAGAGUUAACAAAGCUCAAAAGAAAAGGUGUCGAGCAAAAUAGUAGAGUCAGAAAAGUUUCAGAAAAAAAAAAAAGAGCAUUGAGAAAAAUAAAGUCAGAAAAGUCCCAAAGAGAAAAAGAGUCAACAAAAGAAAAAAAAUCAAAAUCAAGCAAAAGAACAAGCUGCCAGAACUACGCAUGACCUGAUUAUCCUCUCUCGGGGGUGAAUUAUGUAGGCUGCCUUACUCUGAGCUCGGUCCUACCAAUAUAAAUAAUUUAGAGUCACCCAGACAAAAGAAACUGGCGCAUUAGUUAAUCCUCAUUGUUUGAGUCGAUUCCAAAAGUUGUAAGUCCUACCCCACUUCAAGUGUCGUUUGGGCCCCAUACCAUCCUUUCUUUCUAACUCUAUCCAAAAGUCAAGUUACAACCAAAGAAAGACCUUCAGAUCAAUCUUUGAUGAUGUUAAAGCUAAGCAUGCAACAGAUAUGAUGAUGCAUUUGGGAACUACUUGUCUUUUUCAACAUAAGAAAUCAGGAGAGAAAUAAAAAUAAGAGAAUCUUAUUGGUGAAAACCCUCACAGGCACCGUAAGACGAUGGUAAGUUGAGAGAGAUAAAAAUGAGAGAGUCUUAUUGGUGAAAACUCUAACGAGCACCAUAAGACGACUGUGAGUUAAGGGAAAUGAAGAUAAGAGAGUCUCAUUAGUGGAAAACCCUUACAGACACCAUAAGACAAUGGUGAGCUGAGGAAAAGAAAAUGAGAGAAGCUUGAUGGUGAAAACCCUUCAAGGCACCACUAGCCGAAUGGGGUCUUAAAUACAAUUGACCUAAGGAAGCAACUCAGUUUCAAGGCCAUUAAAUCAACAAAAAUGGGUAGAAAGUUUGGAUGAAAAGAUCAAGCUGCUUAAUCCAAAAUGCAUGGCAUAAUCAUUAGUGUUGACUAUCAUUUUUAGAUGAAUUUAUCGUUUCUUUGUUUCAAAAUGGGACAUUCAUUGUCUUUUCUUUCUUCUCUUUAUUUUUAUUUUAUCUUUCUUGGGUCAGUCUUCCAAACAAAAAUUGUCAUUAUUUUUUUCAUUUCUUGUCUUUGAGUUAAGUCCAUGUCAAAAUAAGUGAGAAAAGAUUUCAAAACUAGCUACCAGCUUCUUCAAUUGCAAAAAGUGAGACAAAAGGCCAACACAUGAAAGAGAUAUAAUUGUGAGCCGAAAUAAGGCAUACAGAAAGUUCUAUCAACAGACAAGUCUCGGACCUCAUGGAAAUACCAAAGUUCAAAGGGUUUAUCUGAGGAGCAUGGCAAAGCAAAGAUAUUGUAUUUGUUUCAAAGUCACUCUUAAUAAUCUGAGUUUGGGUCAAAGAUGCAUCAAGUCAAUGAUAUAUGUAAUGGUUGGAAGCAAGGUUAAAAGUGAGGACGGUAAGAGUGUUUUCCACGAAAGCCAAAGCCACAAACUUUCCUCCAUGUUUUUAAACUCACAACUUUUCUUUGCAUAAAACAGGAACACAUAACACCUUCAAAUCAAGGAUUUCAAAGCCUAAACAUCAAGGCCCCUAAUUUCUCUCUUUUACAAAUGCAGGAAGAAAUGUUGUUGCAUAGGUUUGAUAAUCAAACCAUGGUAAAAAUUUAUCAUCUUAUAUCCCUAGGAGACACACUUUCCUGUCUAGAGAUUUUAGUUUUCAUUUGCUGGGUGAUACACUUCUUAAAUUGAACCUUCACUCCUAGAAGAUGUACCUUCUAGUUGAGUCAUUCUCUUUUACUCUUGGAAGACAUAGCUUUUAGUCAAGUCAUCCCCCUUGAUUCCUAUAAGACGUACCUUUUAGUAGAGUCACCCCCCUUCAUUCCUAUAAGGCGUACCUUUUACUUGAGUCAUCCACCUUGAUUCCUAUAAGGAGUACCUUUUAGUUGAUUCAUUUCCCUAGAUUCCUAUAAGACGUACCUUUUAGUAGAGUCAUCUCCCUUUGAUUCCUAUCAGAUGUAUGUUUUAGUCGAGUCAUCUCUCUUUGAUUCCUAUAAGACGUACCUUUUAGUCUAGUCAUACCUCUUGAUUCCUAUAAGACAUACCUUUUAGUCUAGUCAUUCACCUUGACCCCUAGAAGACGUACCUUUUAGUUGAGUCAUCCCCCUUGAUUCCUAUAAGGCAUACCUUUUAGUCAAGUUAUUUCCCUGCAUUCCUAUAAGAUGUACCUUUUAGUCGACUCAUUCCCCUUAAUUCGUAUAAGGCGUACCUUUUAGUCGAGUCAUCUCUCUUGAUUCCUAUAAGACGUACCUUUUAGUUGAGUCAUUCCCCUUGAUUCCUAUAAGACGUACCUUUUAGUCGAUUCAUUCCCCUUGAUUCGUAUGAGAUGUACCUUUUAGUCGAGUCAUCUCUCUUGAUUCUUAUAAGACGUAUCUUUUAGUUAAGUCAUUCCCCUUGAUUCCUAUAAGACGUACCUUUUAGUCGAGUCAUCUCCCUUGACCCCAAGAAGAUGUACCUUUUAGUCGAGUCGUUCCAUUGAUUCCUAUAAGACAUACCUUUUAUUCGAGUCAUUCCUCUUUGAUUCCUAUAAGACGUACCUUUUAGUCGUGUCAUUCCCCUUGAUUACUAUAAGAUGUACCUUUUAGUCGAGUCAUCUCCCUUGACCCCUAGAAGACAUACCUUUCAGUUGAUUCGUUCCAUUGAUUCCUAUAAUACAUACCUUUUAGUCGAGUCAUUCCCCUUGACCCCUAGAAGACGUACCUUUUAGUCAAGUUAUCCCCUACGCUUCCUAGAAGACGUACCUUUUAGUCGGGUCAUUCCCUUGACCCCUAGAAUACGUACCUUUUAGUCGAUUCAUUCCCCUUGAUUCCUAUAAAACGUGCCUUUAGUCGAGUCAUUUCCUUGACCCCUAGAAGACGUACCUUUUAGUCGAGUCAUCCCCUUUAAUUUCUAUAAGCCGUACCUUUUAGUCGAGUAAUCCCCUUUGAUUUCUAUAAGAUGUACCUUUUAGUCGAGUCAUUCCCUUUGAUUCCUAUAAGACGUACCUUUUAGUUGAGUCAUCCCCUUUGAUUCCUAUAAGACGUACCUUUUAGCCGAGUCAUCCCCUUUGAUUCCUAUAAGAUGUACCUUCGAGUUGAAUCAUUCCAAUUAAUUCAUAGAAGAUGCAUUUCUUUGUUUAGGAUAAUUUUCUUUUUAGUUUUGAUGUGAUUUCAGGAGCCGCCUGAAGAAUAGGGCGAAUAAAUGAAAAUUCAAGUAACAAGGUAAAGAAAUUGAAAGUCAACAAAUCAAAAAAUAACAAGUCGGGAACCCUCCUGAAAAAUAGGGUGAAGAAAUUAAAAACCAAGCAACAAGUGAUAAAAUUGCAAGUUGGGAGCUCGCCCGAAAAACAGAUUGAAAAAUAGCAAGUCAGGAACCCAUAUGAACAAUAAGGUGAAGAAAUUACAAGUCAGGAGCCCGCCUGAAGAAUAGGGUGAUAAAGUAGCAGUCAAUAGAUCAAAAGAAGCUGGAUAGAUAGGAUUUUUGUAAUUUCAUUUAUGUUUUAACUUGAAAUUUUUAUUUUUGAUGUAAUAAUAGAGCCGUAGACCGGAACCUCGAUGGAACCUCACUCGACUCUCCAACUCGGUAAAGUCCUUCUCCGUCCAAUCCUUUAAGAUACCUAUCACCUGAUUCCCUUAUAACUUGGGGUUGGUAGGAUGUCCUAAUGUCAAGACCCGUUUUCUUUUUUUCCUUCUGUUUCUCUGAAUAAUGGUCGGAACAAAAUUUAGUCUUGUUGUCUACUUCUUUGUAUGAAAACACUUCGUGUUUACAUUCAAAGGGGGCAUGAUGUAGACACCUAAUUUUGUCCCUCCCGAUAUCAUUUUUACCCAUUUUACCUUAUCCAACCGUGUACCCCCAUCCAUGUUAUUAUACCUUCCAUAAAAUGACAAAAAAUAACAACCCCUAACUAAUUUUAUUUUUAUUCUAACAACAUAUCCAAUCAAAAAUAAAUAGCCACUACCCCACCUACCCUAACAAAUUUUAUCCUAACCAACUCACCCUACCCUACGUCACUACCUUAGAUCCCCCUCCCCUUUUCUUUAACAGAAUUUUGUAUAAGAGGGACCUACAGAAGAUUCCCCAAUUUUACUCUACAUACACCUGUACAUAUGCAUAAAAGAGGGACCCUAUUAUGAUCAUUUCUUUUCACAAGAGACACAAAAUAGGAUUCCAUAUUUUUUUUUCUUCUUGACCAAUUCAUAUAUACACAUAAGAGAACAAAUACAAAAUACACACAAAAAUCAUCUUCUCCACCAGGAAAAUCACACAAUCCUCACCGACUCUCACUCUCACAGAUAAUACUUAUACAUAUUUACUUCCAUUUCCAAAAAGAGAGGAAUCACUAAUCCUCACCAAAUACACUCACUACCCUCUCACUAUAGCACAUACGCACAGUAGAGUUCGAUAAAGAGAUGAGGACAGAUAGCAAGUAGGAACAACGAAGAGGGAGAGAUCGAGAGAUCCGCGAGAGAGAGUUCAGAGAGGAGAUUGUGAAAUUGAAAGAGAGAGGCAGAAACAGACAUUCACUGACUGUUUUGGUAAUUUCUCAUCGGGGAACAUCACCGGUCGCCGUCCAAAUCCGAUGGUUUUCUAUGAAAACUCAUUUGACGUUCCACAGAUCCAUCAGAAAACCAAUAAAUUAAGAUUCGUUUGAGAUCAUUCUUAGCCUAAUCGGAGUUUCGGGUUCAUCGGAUUGGAGAUUUGAGUCGCAGAUUCAUUGUUGCAAUUCAAGUAGAGGUUUUAGGAUGCGGUCUCGAUAUUUGGUCACGUAAUUUGUACUAAUAAAGAUUUAAUUGAGGUCUGAUUCUACUCUCUCACUCUUUUUGCUUCAUUUUUGAUGAUAUCUGGUGCAUUGAAUUCAAUAUUGUGUAUUGUUUGAUCCUCGUUGGUGAUGAAUGCAUAUUUAUUUUGAUUCGUGGUUGGUUUUUCUUGAUUAUGGUUUGGUGAAAUGGUAUCUCAAUUGAGAAUUGAAAUUGGGUGUUUGGGCAGAAUUAAGAAAUUGAUACAAAAAAAAUUGAAUUUGGAUUGAUUAAGAUUCAUUGGUUUUGGUUUAAGUAUGAAUAUUGUCGAACACGAUAGUAGCAUGAUUAGGUCAUUAAUUCGAUGGGCAAAUUCUAGGUUUUGGGGUAGGCAACUUGUAGGAUUUAAUCAUCGAAUGUGUAAAUGUUUGUGCUGGGUGAUUUUCCCAUUUUUAUUGUAUUAAAAUGUACUCAUUUGGCCGGAAAAUUCCCCGAGAGAUUGUAUUGAUUUAUUCGGGGAAUGCCCCGAUUAUCAUGUAUGCAAAGGAGGUUCGUGAUAAAGAUCUGAGGCAUCGGGUCAAGCAUUGGAGCAUAGUCUAGGAUUAGUUUAGAAUACGAUUUACACUUCUGUAUUUUUAAUUUUUCAGGACUGUAUAAUUGGACUGAACAUUAUUAUUUUGAUUUUGAAUUAUUUUUUGAUGUGUUUGGUGAUUGUUUAUCUGUUUUACGUGGUUUAUACAUUUGUAAUGUCAUAUUAAUCGAUAUGUUCCAUCAAGCGACCGUGGUCGAACCACGGGAUCGAGGGAUGCCUAACACCUUCCCCUCGGUCAACAGAAUACCUUAAUUGGAAUCUCUGUUCGCGGAUCAGUUUUAGAGUCAAACCAUUUUGAAAAGGAUUUUCAAAGGUGACUUGGCACACCCGAUUUAUGCCAAGUGGUGACUCUAAGUUUUGAAUAUAAAUAAUCUUUUUUGAAAAAAAAUUUCACUUUUUGUCACAUUGAUAAUAAAACCCUUUCGACUCUUAAAUGAUAAUCUUUUUGGUUGAAAAGAAAGGAUGUGACGGCUCCUUUUCUAACCAAAAAAAAUUUCAUUUUAAGGGUCGAAAGGGUUUUAUUAUUAAACUGACAAAAGAUUGAAAAUUUGCUUCAAAAAGGAUUCAUUAUAUUCAAAAAAUUCAGGGUCGCCACUUGGCAUAAAUCGGGUAUACCAAGUCACCCGUGGAUAUCCUUUUCAAAACGGUUUUGACUCUAAAACUGACCCGCGAACAGACAUUCUCACUAAGAAAUUUUGUUGACCGAAGAAAAGGUGUUAGGCACCCCUCGAUCCCAUGGUUCGACCACGGUCGCUCGGUGGAGUAUAUCGGCUAAUUUGAUACUACAAAUAUAUAAACCACACAAAAACACACAAAAUAACCAAACCAAACAAACGAAAGUUCAAAUAUUAAUGUCCAGUCCAAUUAUUACAAACCCAAAAUACAAAAAUGCUAAAAUGUAAACCUAUACUAAUCCUAGACUACGCUCCACCCGGUGCCUCAGCUCUUGAUCACAAACGUCCUUUCGGUACAAAAUACCUCGGGGCAUCCCCUGAUGAAUGAUACAAAUGGCUUCAGGGAAUUCCCGGCUAAAUGAAUACAAUUGAUUCAAAUGCUGUAAAUAAAACCAUUCAACACAUAUCCAAACAUUCCAACAAUCCACAAGUUCUAAAUUUGCCUACCGAGCCUACUGUUUACCUAUCAUAUCACAAUUCUAUCAUGCUCUACAUCAUCAAUGUAUAAAAAUUAAUGAAAAUUCAUUUUUAUCAAUCCCUAACAUCCGACCCUAAAUCAAUGAUUUUUAUAUUCUAUCCAUUAGCCAAUAAAUUUCACCUAAUUCAACGUAUACAUCAAUUCGAACAACUAAUUCAACAACAUCAAACUAGAUAUUCAAUCAGCUAAACUAACAUCAAACACCACGUAAUUCACUGACAUAUUUGGAAAAUCAAAAUGAGCUAUUGAGAUAAGAGUAAAACUGGGACCUCAAUCGAGCUUUAAGUAUGCAGAAUACAGAUCGAAACAUGGAGCUUCACCACCGGACCUCGACUGAAGAACCUCAACGAUGAACAACAACUCGUCAAACUUCGAUCGGACCUCCAUUCGAAUCAAUAGCCAAAACAGAAACCAAAUUGACCUUUUCCGGUGUAAUAUUCUACGUGCGUGUGCGAUUUAUGCCUCAAUCUUGGUGAAGAAGAUAACCCCUAUAUUUUAGUGAAUACCCAUCUCCCUUUUCGACUCUCUCUCUCGUCUCUCUGAUUUCAGUCCCUCUCUCUUUCGAUCUUUCCCUCUCACUGGUCAGUAUCUAUGGCGGUGUAUAUAUGUGGUCAUCUAUGAUAAGGGUUAGUAUUGUGAUAUUAAUAGAAGAAGAUGGUAGUGUGUGUAUUAUGAAGAAGAACCAAUUCCUAGGAAUUUUUGUUUUCUCUGUAUAUUCAAAAAAAAUGAGAGCUUCUCUGGGUUUUUUUUUUGCGUAUAUGGUGACUGGUCUCUGAGGAAGAUGACUUCUGACGGUCUUUUUUCUUUUGGUGAUGGUGAUAUAUGGGGAGUAUAUGCUAGUGAGAUCCAAUCAAUG
rnacentral:lncRNA from 1 species